ACACACACAGACACUCACGCACACACAGACACACGCACACACAGACACACUCACACACACACAGAUACUCACGCACACGCACACAGACACUCACGCACACAUAGACACUCACACACAGACACGCACACACAGACACUCACACACAGACACUCACGCAAAUGCACACACACGCACACACAGACACUCACGCACACACACACACACACGCACACACAAACACAGACACUCAUGCACACACAGACACUCACGCACACAGACACUCACACGCACGCAGACACUCAUGCACACAGACUCUCACACACACACAGACACUCAUGCACACACAGACACAGACACUCACGCACACAGACUCACCCACAGCUCCUAACACAGGCCUAAGCUGGUUACACAGUGAAAAACAGAUCAAAACAACACAAGUCUUGCCGAAACUCUGGUGGGCAGGGGUGCCCCCCCCCCCAACCAGAUCAGUCAGAAUAUGUUCCAAAUUAUUCAGGGCCGCAGUCACUCAGGGGCCCUUGAAAUUGUCGUAACAUUCUCACUCUUUGUGGUUACUCUUAUAGUGGGAAAAAUUACUUUCUAAUAAGCAUUGCACUCGGUAGACUUCUGUCAUUUGUAAUUGCAAUUGCGGCAUUCAUUACCGAUAAGGUGGUGCUGUAUCGUAAUCGGCACAGUGCCGAUUACCAAUACUGCCAAAGAGAAAGAAGUGUGCUGGAUUUUUCCUUAAAACAGAGUGUCUGUCCCCCCCCCCCACAAAUUUUGUGGCUCUUCAAACAGGUGAGUAUAGAAUAAAAUAUACUUUGAAUCCAAGCAUGUCCAGUUUCUUAAAAAUGUUUCUUAAAUUAACAUUACAUCUCAUUGGCGUGUUGUUUUCAGCUGCGCAGAUACGGCUCAUAGAAUCCGCAAUUAAUUUGCUAAGCGAUUUCGCUAGAAGGCGAUUGGUGAGACGUUGGGGACUUCAUCUGAUAGACAGUUAAAAAGUAAUAAUUCAUGUUACUGAUGAGAUGCGAUGAAUUUGUGCAGGAGGCGAGGAGGCAGUUAAACGUGUUUUUAUUUAUUCGCACGGUGGGCGAAAUUAAAAAGAAGUGGUCCGACAUUAAAGUCGACGUGACAAAACGAGUGGCCGCUGACCAUAAGAGUCUUAACAGCACAGGCGGAGGGAGUGGAAUCCCCGGUCUCUCACUUUAUCGGGUGAGGAGGACGCCGAUGUCAGCUCGGACAAUAGUACAAGAUGUGCCCCCAGUGCCAAGGACGACGCAGGCGGCGAUGGUGCUGCUGUGCCGAGCACAUCUUUGGGCGCUGGCUGCACACAAUCCCCUGCCUCGGAAACCGGGGAGCGACCGUCCGGCCGUGUGCUGACUGAAGCUGUGCUGCAGUCACAAAAUGCAAUAGCACAUGCUGUAAGAGAUGUUGCCAAUGAAUUAAAACAUCUAAAUGAUACGCUGUGUGAUAUUAACAACACAUUAAAAGAAUUAGUUAAAAAAUAAA